CCGUGGAUAAUCUAAUUAGUUCGGCUAUUGAUUGAACUCAUCAAUUAGCAAAAUAAUUGAUUGGUCUAUUGAAAUAUCGAAACACCAAGAGAAUGUCAUGUGACCAAUUCUAUUCUCCUUCCUGUAUCAGGAUGGUAGAAGUUAUCCACCCCUUAUCAAAUAAGUAUAUCCACCCCUUAUCAAAUAAGUAUAGUAAAAAAAAUUUAUUGGUGGAGCUUUUCAGUUUCACAUAGAAAAUCUGCAACACGAGGACUUUUGAGCAUCUAGCAGCCAGCAUAAGCUCCUAUUCGCUAGCAAGGUGGCAUCAAAUGAGUCUUUCUCCAUUGCCUGCAUGAACAAUAAAAAAUAGCUCAGUUUCUUUGGGUUUGUUGGGUUUAUCAAACUGGUCCCAUGGAGCAUAGAAAACCUCCCUUGCAUCAGUUUCAGGAAAAGUUUACUUUUGAUGCCAGCAUUAGUAAUUUAUAACAACGUUCUCUCAAAACUGGUGCGGUGGAGCGCCAAAAGACAACCUAAUGAUUUUACUAUAGCUAUUUCUCCAUGUUUUCAGGAAUUUUAUGCAUUGGGACGUGCCCUGAGCCUUCAUUCAUUACCUAAAAGUAGGAAAAUAUGAAGUGGUUCCAUAUAAUCCAACAUGAUCUACAAAUGAGUAAUUUAUCAUUUAACAGAAAAUGAUCUACAUGGCCCUUCUGUUAUUAUUACUCAUAAAUUUAAUGCACUUUUUGUUCAAUCGAUUUGUCUGGAUGCAAUUACCACAUAAUUGCUGCCUCAGAGUGUUCUUAGAAUCAUUCUUGGAGGUGGUGCGGGGACUAGAUUGUCCCCCCUGACAAACAAGCGUGCCAAGCCUGCAGUUCCAUUGGGUGCCAACUACAGGCUCAUUGAUAUCCCUGUCAGCAAUUGUCUCAACAGCAACAUCUCAAAGAUCUAUGUGCUGACACAGUCAAGAGCCUAGGGAAGCAACAUUGGAGGUUACAAGAAUGAAGGCUCAGGGCACGUCCCAAUGUGGAUUUGUUGAAGUGUUAGCCGCGCAGCAGAGUCCAGAUAAUCCAAAGUGGUUCCAGGAAAAUAUGUGCUCCAUUGCAAGUUGCAAUACUACAAUGGCAAGUCCAGCAUCUUUUCCACUUACAUGAUCCUCUGAUUGUUUGUUGAUGGAUCUUAAUGUGAACAAUAGGAUGAUAAGGUCUACACAGUUCUUUUCAAAAAAGGUCCACAAUGUUUUCAUAUUCUGUUGUACAUUUAUUUGCAUAUUUAGUUGCCCUUGAACAUUAAUAUGUUAUUAUUUUCCUUUUUAUGAGUCCAAAUUUGACCAACAUUCGUGACAUGUAUUUUGAUGAUAGUCCUGGUAAUAUGUUCGAGCACUACUAUUUAUCUUUGGUCAA